GUUAUUACUUAACAAGCCUUAACUCUCGUAGUCGAAGCUGAGAGGUUGAUCGACCACACUGGGUCUGAAAAAACCCCAGGACAAAUUAGUACGUACAGCAGUGGGGAAUUUUGGUCAAUGGCCUAGCGGCUGAACUGGCAACUUGGAGGAAUGAUGUAGAUUGCCCGUGUUAACUACAAUUGAUUUAUCAAAUAAAAUUCUAAAUGUAUUAUUGAUAAUGACGAUAUACAGAUUGAUGCCUUGACUAAUUACGUGCCAGCAGUCGCGGUAAUACGUAAGAGGCUAGUGUUAUUCAUCUUAACUAGGUUUAAAGGGUACUUAAACGGUAAAAUUUUCCUUAAUAAAGGUACAUUUUUACUAGAGUUUUAUGUGAGGAGGUAGUACUUAAGGCGUAGAGAUAAAAUUCGUUAAUACCUUAGGGACUGAUAAAGGCGAAGGCAACCUCUUAUGUG
rnacentral:rRNA from 1 species